CAAACGAGGACUAAACCCAAUUCUACGAUCAUUGAUUAAUCAAACAUUACACUAAAACAAGGUACAAUCACAAUUCACAAUACUGUAAUUAUUAAACCUCAAAUUAUCACAAAACAUCUAAUUUCUCAAAAAUAAUAUAAAAAAAAUAUUCAUAUUCAAAUAUAAAGAGAACCGGUUCAGGAGAGAGAGAGAGAGAGAG
rnacentral:lncRNA from 1 species